UUCUUUCAGAACGGCCUGGAAAGCACCGCUAGUUACUUCGCUACCAUUGUCGGAGAUUAAACGAAGGGGAGUUGAGUAUCUACAACAGAUUUCUUCUACCAGUGGUUGUCAGUACUUCGCCGUUGUGUUCCACGUCAACCCUGUUCUUGAAUAUCUUCGGUCAGCAGGCGCCAAACUUUUACGUGUCGCGUAAUGCCACCGCUCACUUAACUUUCGUGAUAGUUCGUUCAGUAAACAACCAACAACUGUUCAAGUGUUCUAAGUCUUUAUUUUGUUAUGUACCUUCUUAAGUAUCAUACGGGCUAUAAGUCUAGUUCAUGCCCAAAACCUACUCUCUAACUAACUGUAUAACAUGCUUUCAUAUAUACUGCUGAUUUCGUCUAGCAUUUGACAGUUGUACAUAUUUAAUUUCUUGUUAUAUACCAAAAGAACGUAUUCUAUAGUCAUGAACUGUCAAGCUAAUUGGACUAAUAGCCAGCGGCUAUCACGACUGUCACCAGCUGAGUACAUCUACAUUUGAUAAUCAUGAUGAAAUAUUUGCUUUUUGUUACAAAUAAACUUUGAAUUCUA